AUUGAACGCUGGCGGCAUGCUUUACACAUGCAAGUCGAACGGCAGCGCGGGCUUCGGCCUGGCGGCGAGUGACGAACGGGUGAGUAAUACAUCGGAACGUGCCCAGUAGUGGGGGAUAGCUCGGCGAAAGCCGGAUUAAUACCGCAUACUACCUGAGGGUGAAAGCGGGGGGUCUUCGGACCUCGCGCUCUUGGAGCGGCGGAUGGCAGAGUAGCUAGUUGGUGGGGUAAAGGCCUACCAAGGAGGCGAUCUGUAGCUGGUCUGAGAGGACGACCAGCCACAGUGGGGCUGACACGCGGCCCAGGGUCCUACGGGAGGCAGCAGGGGGGAAGUUUGGACAAAGGGCGAAAGCCUGAUCCAGCGAUGCCGCGUGUGUGAUGAAGGCCUGCGGGUUGUAAAGCACUUUUGGCGGGAACGAAAAGGACUGUGCCAAUACCACGGUGCGAUGACGGUACCCGCAGAAUAAGCACCGGCUAACUACGG
rnacentral:rRNA from 1 species